rnacentral:rRNA from 1 species
CCUACGGGUGGCAGCAGUGGGGAAUAUUGGGCAAUGGGCGCAAGCCUGACCCAGCAACGCCGCGUGAAGGAAGAAGGCUCUCUGGUUGUAAACUUCUUUUCUCAGGGACGAAGCAAGUGACGGUACCUGAGGACUAAGCCACGGCUAACUACGUGCCAGCAGCCGCGGGAAUACGUAGGUGGCAAGCGUUAUCCGGAUGUACUCGGUGUAAAGGGCGUGUAGGCGGGACGGCAAGUCAGAUGUGAAAACCACGGGCUCAACCUGUGGCCUGCAUUUGAAACUGUAGUUCUUGAGUACUGGAGAGGCAGACGGAAUGCCUGGUGUAGCGGUGAAAUGCGUAGAUAUUAGGAGGAACACCAGUGGCGAAGGCAGUCUGCUGGACAGCAACUGACGCUGAGGCGCGAAAGCGUGGGGAGCAAACAGGAUUAGAUACCCGGGUAGUC